CCCUAUGUCGCUCCGAUUCGUCCCUCCCCCCCACGCCCAACGCACACACUCCCCCUUUCUCCCCUUUCCCCGGCCCCGGCCCUGAGGUUUGAAACCACCCCCGCCACGCCCCGGCUAUGUCCCCCCGACCCUUCGAUGCCUCUCCUGGUCGGGAUCCCCCGUGCCCACGUCCUGUCGCCUUUUCCCCUACUUUUCUAAGUAAAAAAAAAAAAAAAUACUAUCAGAAACUUGGCAAAGGCAUGGAAACCUGGAAGCUUGACCAAAGACACAUGACGCAUGCCACGGGGCCUUUCAUGGUGCCCGCCCGCGAUCCAAGCCAAGACACGCGACGCGUGCCACGAUGCCUUGCUUGGUGCCCGCGAGCCAAGCCAAGGUGGCACGAGGCCUUGCAUGGUGCCCGCCCGUGAGCCAAGCCAAGACACGUGGCACGGGGCCUUGCCUUGGUGCCCGCGAGCCGAGCCAAGACACGCGACGCGUGCCAUGUGGCCUUGCUUGGUGCCCACGAGCCGAGCCAAGACACAUGACGCGUGCCACCUCCCGUGCCACGACAGCUACAAGGACCCUCGAUAURGUGCUAGAGGCUGUGCUAGGACACGUGACCCAUGCCAUGAUGCGCGCCACGGCCCGAGGCACGACACGUCUCGCGUGCCACGACCCCCAUGCCAUGGUGCCAGGACACCUAUAAUGACCCAUUCCAUGGUGGUAGAGGCMGUGCCAAGACACAUGGUGCGUGCCCUAUCUGGAUUUCGACCCUGAUGCCUUGACAAGGUUCCGGAUUAUGGUCUAUUUCUAAYCACGGAAUGUUAUUAAUCCAUGGAUUCAUGUUGCAAAGGUUGUUCGCUAUUUUUUUAUAUGGUUUUUUUAAGUAAAAAAAUUUUAAAAUAAAUUUUGUUUGGACAAUCCUUGGAUUAUUUUUUAAGAUUUCUUUUUCCCAUAUCAAAUGCAAUUUUUAAAAAUAUUUAAAUUAAUUUUUACUUAUUUUCCCCCCAUAUUUCUAAGUAAAAAAGCUAAAAAAAAAUAUUUUUUGGACAAGAGAGCUUCACCAAUCCUUGAAUUCGUCUUCCAUAUAUUUUUCCCAUGUGAAAUACAUUUUUUAAAAAUAUUURCACUAUUUUUUCCUCAUUUUUACUAUUUUUUAAGUAAAAAAUUCGGAAAAAAAAAAUUAUUUUUCAGAGAUAAGUUGCAUUAAUUCAUGGAUUCCUAUUCCAGAUAUUUUUCCCAUGUGAAAUACAAUUUUUAAAAAUAUUUUCACUAUUUUUUGGUAUUUUUUACUAUUUUUACCUAUUUUUCCCUAUUUUUCGGACAAAAAAAUUAAAAUAAAUAUUUUCUGGGCCGAAAUUUUUUUUUUUUUUUUUCCUUGGGUUCAUAUAAUUAUUAUAAAGAGAUUCAGCAAAAAAAACGGAAUUAAAAACUCUUUUUUCAUUAAAAAAUGGCAUUAUGUCUCCUCAAGCAUGGGUGAUGUCUCCUCAAGGCAUUUCCAAAAUGGCCCAAAAUGCUCUUUAAGGGGGGGGUGCUGUCCUCAAUGGGCUGGCAGCACCACCCGCCCAGGCACGCUGCAGCGCGUGCCGCCCUUGGCGUGCAGGCCGCCCAUGCCACCCUAGGCAUGGCGCCCCCGCAUAUGCCACCCUCAAGCCCACGACACGCUAAUGCGAAGAGAGCACGCCCUCGACACCGUGGGGAGCCCUCRCACGCAACAGCAGUCAUCCCGUGCCCCGUACACGCUGCACCCCGGACGCGUCCCAUGCCCCCCAUGCGGACACGCCCUCCCCCCCCAUGCAACGAGUGCCCUCCCCGCRCACUCGGCCCCGUCCCUCCCCGUCUCGGCUCGACCCCUCGAGCGAGCAUGUUGCCUCGGAUAAACGUGCCAAUGGCCAACGUCGCGGCUCACCCCGGGGGGCUCACCCAUGCCUCCCGCCCGACGCUGCCCAUCAAAAGGCACACGGACGCCCCUCCCCCCAUGCAACGAGUGCCCUCCCCGGGUGUGCUCGGCCCCCCGUCUCGGCUCGUCGAGGAGCCCUCAAGCCCUCGAGCGAGCAUGUUGCCUCGGAAAAAACGUGCCAGUGGCCAACGUCGCGGCUCACCCCGGGGGGCUCACCCAUGCCUCUCGCCCGACGUUGCCCAUCGAAAGGCACACGGAUGCCCCUCCCCCCCAUGCAACGAGUGCCCUCCCCGGGCACUCGGCCCCGUCCCGGCUCGUCGAGGAGCCCUCAAGCCCUCGAGCGAGCAUGUUGCCUCGGAAAGGAGCCAGACGCAUCGUCGCCAUGCCUAUAUCGGUCCUACGAAGGCUUCACUCGUUGCUCCCGUGUGCUGGUCAGGAGUCGCCUCCGGACGAGUCGCGGUUCGACGCGUGAUGCCGUGUCGUAGUGAACCUGAUGGCGUGUGAGUGGUGUUUGGGUCGCGUGGGUCGGCAGGCUCCUUGCUCGUGCAACGAACUGUCGCCGCACCGCCCUCUUCAUUCUAAGCCUCAAGCGCUGCAACAAGCCUUGGGCGUCGCGAUGCCGUGGUUCCUGUGUUGCCUUCCUAACGGAUGGAAUUGUCCCUCGAACGUUGCCUAUCUCCGCCCGGCUCCCGCUCACGYGGUGCGGGCGGACCUCGAAAGCGGUCGCCGYGUCCCAUGGUCRCCCCACGCAUGCGCACGCAUGWGAGGGGUCGAGCAUGGCCCGCGACGGCMGCUCGUGCUCUCGGAUGCGGAACCUUAAAACGAGCGUGGGGUCUCUCGGGAUCCYGUACUCGCUCGAGCUAAGCGUUCGUCGCUAGACGCGUACGACGGYCGUCCCCGUCUUUGCCCUCCCGUCCCGCUCCCCUCGGGGGGCGUCGGUCAGGCGCAUGCGGUGCCGGCGUCGCACAGGAAUGC
rnacentral:misc_RNA from 1 species